rnacentral:rRNA from 1 species
UGCAGUCGAGCGGUAGAGAGUAGCUUGCUACUCUUGAGAGCGGCGGACGGGUGAGUAAUGCCUAGGAAUCUGCCUAGUGGUGGGGGAUAACGUUCGGAAACGGACGCUAAUACCGCAUACGUCCUACGGGAGAAAGCGGGGGACCUUCGGGCCUCGCGCCAUUAGAUGAGCCUAGGUCGGAUUAGCUAGUUGGUGAGGUAACGGCUCACCAAGGCGACGAUCCGUAACUGGUCUGAGAGGAUGAUCAGUCACACUGGAACUGAGACACGGUCCAGACUCCUACGGGAGGCAGCAGUGGGGAAUAUUGGACAAUGGGCGAAAGCCUGAUCCAGCCAUGCCGCGUGUGUGAAGAAGGUCUUCGGAUUGUAAAGCACUUUAAGUUGGGAGGAAGGGUAGUAACUUAAUACGUUGCUACUUUGACGUUACCGACAGAAUAAGCACCGGCUAACUUCGUGCCAGCAGCCGCGGUAAUACGAAGGGUGCAAGCGUUAAUCGGAAUUACUGGGCGUAAAGCGCGCGUAGGUGGUUCAUUAAGUUGGAUGUGAAAUCCCCGGGCUCAACCUGGGAACUGCAUCCAAAACUGCUG